rnacentral:lncRNA from 1 species
AACAAGAGCAUAACUCCGUCUCAAAAAAAAAAGCAAGCAAGCAAACAAACAGAAAACAAACAAAAACUCACCUCAAAUAUCACUUUAAACAAUGGAAUAUCUUCUAUUUGUCUGCCCGCCCUGCACUCUAAAAAGGUUAAUUUUGCUUUCCUGUGGCUUUCAAAAUAUCUAAAAUACUAUAUUUACUAUAUGACUUUUUUACUUCUGUAUAUUUCAAACUUUGGGCCAUCAUUUAGUUAUAGAUUAUGAAAUCAGUUUAAUAAAUCAUACCCAGUAUUUCUUUUUACGUAGAAGUGCAUAAAUGGAACAUAUCAAGUCUGUCAUAUGUAUGAAUGAU